AGCGAACGCUGGCGGCAGGCUUAACACAUGCAAGUCGAGCGGGCACUUUCGGGUGUCAGCGGCGGACGGGUGAGUAACGCGUGGGAACGUGCCCUCUGGUUCGGAAUAACUCAGGGAAACUUGAGCUAAUACCGGAUACGCCCUUUUGGGGAAAGGCUUUCUGCCGGAGGAUCGGCCCGCGUCUGAUUAGCUAGUUGUUGAGUUAACGGCUCACCAAGGCGACGAGGCUUAGCUGUUCUGAGAGGAUGAUCAGCCACACUGGUACGGAGACACGGCCCAGACUCCGGAGGGAGGCAGCAGUCGGGAACCUUCCGGAAGGGGCGAAAGGGUAAUGGAGCAACGCGGCGUGAGGGAUGAAGGUCCUCGGAUCGUAAAGAAAUGAGAUUAGGGGGGAAAAAAUGUUUUUUUAACGAGGCAAGUAUUGACGGUACCGAAGAAAAAAGCCACGGCUAACUACGUG
rnacentral:rRNA from 1 species